GUGGCCGGGGUGGGCGGGACCGGGGGCGAGGCGCCGCCGGCGUGAGUCGGGCUCGCGGUCUCGGAGCGGCGGUUGGGGCAGCGGCUUUGGCCCCCACACGGCCGGUAAUGAGGGGCAUGGGCCCGUUGUACCGCGGGAGAGGGAGCCCCUGCCUGCGGCCGGCUGGUGUCUCGUUGGGAGAGACCCGCCGGUUAAACCAGUCACCGUCCGCACCGACCGUGCCUGACGCCAGUAAAAGCCGGGUCUGAACUCCCAACGCAAAUCACGGCCUCCCGAUCGGUGCCGGGUGACUGCUGGUGCCUCGGGCAGGGACAGGGCAGGGCGUGACACGGCAGAGCUGCCGGAACCUCGGGCAGAGCGACAGGGCGAGGAGGGGACCCUGCCCCUCUGCUCCGGGGAGACCUCCCCUGCCGCUGGUCCAGCUCUGGGGCAACAGCACAAGAGGGACGUGGAGCUGCUGGAGCGAGGCCAGAGGCCCCGGAGAUGCUGCGAGGGCUGGAGCAGCUCUGCUCUGGAGCCAGGCUGAGAGAGCUGGGCUGGGGCAGCCUGGAGAAGAGAAGGCUCCUGAAGGGGACACCUUAGAGCAGCUCCAGUGCCUAAAGGGGCUCCAGGAAACCUGGAGAGGGGCUUUGGACAAGGGCCUGUAGGGCCAGGCCAAGGGGAAUGGCUUUAACCUGCCAGAGAGGAGAUUGAGAUGAGCUCUGAGGCAGAAGCUCUUCCCUGUGAGGGUGCUGAGGCGCUGGCACAGGGUGCCCAGAGAAGCUGUGGCUGCCCCAUCCCUGGCAGUGUUCAAGGCCAGGUUGGACACAGGGGCUUGGAGCAACCUGCUCUAGUGGAAGGUGUCCCUGCCUGUGGCAGGGGGUUGGAGCUGGAGGAGCUUUAAGGUCCCUUCCAACACAAACCAGGCUGGGAUUCUGUGAUUCUAUGAAGGUUUGAUCCAGAGCCAUCCAAAUUUACCAGGCAAGCAGGCUUCAAAUCGUAUCCAAACUGGAGAACUUCUCCAAACAAAAGCUUUUGGAAAAAGAGCUUUUAUUAAAAGGAUCCUUCUUCAGGAUGAUUCAUGGACAAGAGGAAGCUGUGCAGAGCAGAUUAUCAGAUGUCCUAAGUCAAAGCCAGGGAAGAGUGCCCUGGUUCCGGCAGCACUGUCAGCGUUCUGACAGGCACAUUCCAGUCAUCUCCUUGCCUCAGUCUGCACGGCUGAGCUGGUGAUAAGACACAAAAGCAGCCUUUUCAUUUCAAGCAGCACAAAAA
rnacentral:lncRNA from 1 species